rnacentral:lncRNA from 1 species
CCUGACGUCACUUCCGGUUAAGGGUGGAAGCCCGAAAGGUCCCUUUGGAGCCCAUGGCGACCCCAAAAGCUCCCAUUGGAACCCAUAGAGACCCCGAAAGGUCCCUUUGGAGCCCACGGCGACCCCAGAACGGCUCUUUGGAGCCCAUGGAGACCCCAAAAGGGCCCUUUGGUACCCAUGGAGACCCCAAAAGCCCCUUUGGAGCCCAUGGAGACCCCACAAGAUCCCUUAGGAACCCAUGGAUACCCCAAAAGGUCCCAUUGGAGCCCGUGGGUCUCUAUGGGGCUCUAUUGGGCUCCGGGGGUCCCUAUGGGGUCUCUAUGGGGUCUCUAUGGGUCCCUAUGGGAUCUCUAUGUGGCUCUACGGGGUCCCUGUGGGGUCACUCUGGGGUCUCUGUGGGUCUCUAUGGCUCCCUAUGGGUCUCUAUGGGGUCCCUAUGGGGCUCUAUGGGGUCUCCAUGGGUCUCCGUGGUCUCUGCGGGUCUCUAUGGGUCUCUAUGGGUCCCUGUGGGGCCACUCUGGGUCUCUAUGUGUCCCUAUGUGUCCCUAUGGGGUCUCUAUAGGUCUCUGUGUGUCCCUAAGGGGUCUCUGUGGGUCUCUA